UGUUUUUUUUUUUUUUUUUUUUUUUUUUUUUUUUUAACUAGCCUAUAUGAAAUUUACUCAGAAACUUGGAGAGAAUUAUGGCCAUAACAAUAACAAAGCGUUAGUCACAAAUAUUGAGGUUAUCAUGGAUGAAAGCUAUAGCUUGGUGUUACCACUCAAAGUAUUCUCUGCUUUUAAGGAUAGCUUAAUUUCAUGGUGAAUGAUUUUUGGACUUCUCAACCAGUAAGACUUCAUUGAACAAGGAUUGCUUGGAGAGUUCUGUUACUUCAUAACGAAGGCAUUCCUUUCAUCUUUGGAUUAAUUUAUUAAGGUUGCUUAGCAUACCAUGGAUUAUGUUAGAGAUAUAGCACCUGUGAAAUAUCAUAUGAAUCUAGCACCUUGUUGGAAUUUUUUGUUUAGUGCUCUGCCUGAUAGGUUCAUGCUUGAUGGUAUAUUUGUGUUACUGUUGUCAAGUGUCAUUCUUUUGUUUUCCUGAGUUGUAAUUGUCUUAGUGCUCUGUUUGCUGGUUCAGACUUGCUGUUGUAUAUGUGUUGCUGGUUUUCGGCUUGGUUUCAAUGAAAUUUCUGCCUCAUUAUCCAAAAAUAAAAUAAAAUAAAAUCUAGCACCUUCUAUUCUCAAGAACAGGAGUUCCUAACUUUUCUAAUGACUUUUAAAUUGAAUACUAGACAACAAAAGCUAUCAGACAGAAGGGAACAAAUGAUUUUAUUUCUAACAAUUUGAGUUCCAAAGUAAAAUUAUAAGGUCUUUACACAAAUUGAACCCUUUUUCCUCAUUUUUUGUAAAAAAUUUCCAAUUAUGUUGUAUAAGUAAAUUCUCUUCUGGGCAGAAGUUGGCUUUCAAGGUGAAGGCAAGACUGUUCACCUAAAUGAGAAAGACCGAUGCUUUUAAAACAUGAACUUCCUCUCUUUGUGGUCCUGGGAUGUUGUAAUGGAUACCAAGGCUUAUUUGAUUGAAUUCACUGAGUAAAAUUUGGCUCAAGGUGAUAUCGAGGUAAUAUUGCAAGGAGAAUUAAAUCUUACAACCAUGCUGCUGGAAUUAGCUCAUUGUAUAGGAAUUUUGCUGCUUCAAAUCCUUUUUAUAUGUGGAAAUUUGUCAAGAGUAGACUAAGCUUUUCACAUCCCAGGGUUAAAAAUUUAUUUUAGAAGGAUUUAAUUCGUGUGUCUACAGGUGCACACAUCUCCAUUCUCAGUUCCCUUCAAAUUUAUUAAAUACCAGAUUAGUUCUCUCUUAGCUUUUCCUUUUGGUUUCAAGUAUGGGGACUUUAUUAGUUAUUGGGUUCUAUACUUCUAUAUGCAAAUGCCUGAGGAUAAUUGAUAAUAUAGCAGACAAGAGUUUAGUAAUGCAUGUUUUUCUAAAUCUACUUGGUACAAAAAUUAUGCAGAAACUAAGAAAAAGAAUGGUUCCCAUGAAUGAAGACCAUGCUUUUAAGGAUAGUUUAAUUUCAUGAAUUAUUAUUUGAAGAUAUUUCCCCAUGGUCUUGGCGCUCAUUGAUGAAGACAAAAGGUGUUGGAAGGUUGAUUUUGUUAGAAGAACCUACCUACCUACCUAAACAUCCCUCUCAGCUACACCCUCCUAGAUGAUCAAAUCAUAUGAAUUGGAAGCAAGAAAGGUGAAUUCUCUGUCAAAAGCGUUUACUAUGUAGCACUUCCAAUCAUUCAUCCAUCUAAUGAGGGUGAAAGCUCAAGAGAUGAUCCUUGCUCGCCUCUCUGGAAAAGGAUGUGGCACCUCAACAUCCCAGCAAAGAUCAGAAUCUUCGCCUGGCAUGCCUGCAUGAAUGCCCUCCCCACUAUGCAUUGCCUAAGAACCAGAGAGGAGUAAGCACAUAUGGUAUUUGCCCUGUUUGUGACUUGUGCCCUGAAAGUACUCUGCAUGCCCUUAUACAGUGUGACACUCCCAAAGAGGUGUGGAGCAGUUGUCUAAACUGUCCAGUGGAUUAGGAGUCAAAUUCUGGGGAUUUUACUGAUCUAGCAUUUCAUUUCGUCACCAAUGGCACCACUCAAGACUUGGAAACUUUUUUUGUCACAGCCUAGCCUAUUUGGUACAACCAGAAUCAGAUGGUACAUGAGUCAAUCUCAUCACUUCCCAUCCAAAUAUGGGAAACUGCUAGGAGAACUGUCAAGGAUUGCAAAGGUGCCCUUAUCAACUGCAUUUCAGCUGAAAUCCAACCCAGCUUUGUGCUGGACUGCCCCACCUCCUAGCACUCACAAAUAUGGUAGAAAAAGUUCUCAUAAAUGAAGAUUGUUGGCACUUAGAGACUUCUUAACUUGAUUAGUUCUGUGAACAAAAGGAUUGUUUGGUGAAUUUUGUAAAAUCGUAAACAAGACAUUUGCUUUUAUCUUAGCUCCAAUUUCUCAAUGUUGCUUACCAUACCAUGAUGUUAUAGACACAUUAUGAGAUAGGAAACCUGUAAAAUAUCAGAUGAAGAAAUUUCAAAUGAAGAAAUUUCAGAUGAAGAACCAAAGAAACCUACUCUUAAGAAGUGGGACUUAAUGAAAGCUUUUGGGUGCUACAAUUGUUCAACAACUGAAUAACUCACUCACUGAGUCAAAUUGGCACAAGGUAAUAUUACUUGGGGAAUUGAAUCUGGUAACCAUGCUGUUGGAACCACCUCAUAAGCUCAAGUGUGCAAUCUCAGGUGGAAAAUCUGCUACUGAUU